rnacentral:rRNA from 1 species
CAGGCCUAACACAUGCAAGUCGAACGGAAAGGCCCUGCUUGCAGGGUACUCGAGUGGCGAACGGGUGAGUAACACGUGGGUGAUCUGCCCUGCACUUCGGGAUAAGCUUGGGAAACUGGGUCUAAUACCGGAUAGGAGCCAUCUUUAGUGUGGUGGUUGGAAAGUUUUUUCGGUGUAGGAUGAGCUCGCGGCCUAUCAGCUUGUUGGUGGGGUAAUGGCCUACCAAGGCGGCGACGGGUAGCCGGCCUGAGAGGGUGUACGGCCACAUUGGGACUGAGAUACGGCCCAGACUCCUACGGGAGGCAGCAGUGGGGAAUAUUGCACAAUGGGCGCAAGCCUGAUGCAGCGACGCCGCGUGGGGGAUGAAGGCCUUCGGGUUGUAAACUCCUUUCGCUAGGGACGAAGCUUUUUGUGACGGUACCUAGAUAAGAAGCACCGGCUAACUACGUGCCAGCAGCCGCGGUAAUACGUAGGGUGCGAGCGUUGUCCGGAAUUACUGGGCGUAAAGGGCUCGUAGGUGGUUUGUCGCGUCGUCUGUGAAAUUCUGGGGCUUAACUCCGGGCGUGCAGGCGAUACGGGCAUAACUUGAGUGCUGUAGGGGUAACUGGAAUUCCUGGUGUAGCGGUGAAAUGCGCAGAUAUCAGGAGGAACACCGAUGGCGAAGGCAGGUUACUGGGCAGUUACUGACGCUGAGGAGCGAAAGCAUGGGUAGCGAACAGGAUUAGAUACCCUGGUAGUCCAUGCCGUAAACGGUGGGCGCUAGGUGUGAGGGUCUUUCUACGACUUUCGUGCCGUAGCUA